rnacentral:rRNA from 1 species
CAGUCGAACGGAGUUACGAUGAAACCUAGUGAUUCGUAACUUAGUGGCGGACGGGUGAGUAACGCGUGGAUAACCUGCCUUGCACUGGGGGAUAACACUUAGAAAUAGGUGCUAAUACCGCAUAAGCGCACGGAGCCGCAUGGCUCAGUGUGAAAAACUCCGGUGGUGUAAGAUGGAUCCGCGUCUGAUUAGCUGGUUGGCGGGGUAGAAGCCCACCAAGGCGACGAUCAGUAGCCGGCCUGAGAGGGUGAACGGCCACAUUGGGACUGAGACACGGCCCAAACUCCUACGGGAGGCAGCAGUGGGGAAUAUUGCACAAUGGGGGAAACCCUGAUGCAGCAACGCCGCGUGAGUGAAGAAGUCAUUCGUGAUGUAAAGCUCUAUCAGCAGGGAAGAAAAUGACGGUACCUGAGUAAGAAGCCCCGGCUAACUACGUGCCAGCAGCCGCGGUAAUACGUAGGGGGCAAGCGUUAUCCGGAUUUACUGGGUGUAAAGGGAGCGUAGACGGCCAGACAAGUCUGAAGUGAAAAUCCAGCGCUUAACGUUGGAAGUGCUUUGGAAACUGCCGGGCUGGAGUGCAGGAGGGGCAGGCGGAAUUCCUAGUGUAGCGGUGAAAUGCGUAGAUAUUAGGAGGAACACCAGUGGCGAAGGCGGCCUGCUGGACUGCAACUGACGUUGAGGCUCGAAGGCGUGNGGAGCAAACAGGAUUAGAUACCCUNGUAGUCCACGCGGUAAACGAUGAUUACUAGGUGUCGGGGGGCUAGAGCCCUUCGGUGCCGUCGCAAACGCAAUAAGUAAU